rnacentral:rRNA from 1 species
UACGAAGGGGGCUAGCGUUGCUCGGAAUCACUGGGCGUAAAGCGCACGUAGGCGGGUUGUUAAGUCGGGGGGUGAAAUCCUGGAGCUCAACUCCAGAACUGCCUUCGAUACUGGCGACCUUGAGUCCGGGAGAGGUGAGUGGAACUCCGAGUGUAGAGGUGAAAUUCGUAGAUAUUCGGAAGAACACCAGUGGCGAAGGCGGCUCACUGGCCCGAUACUGACGCUGAGGCACGGAAAGCGUGGGGAGCAAACAGG